UGAGCCCUAGUGUCCCCAGUUUGGGAGGUAGCAGUGGUGGUGACACCCCCAGCACUCACCCCCACUGCUCUCUCCCAGGGAUGAGGAAAUUCAGA